rnacentral:rRNA from 1 species
AAACUUUCAACAACGGAUCUCUUGGUUCUGGCAUCGAUGAAGAACGCAGCGAAAUGCGAUACGUAAUGUGAAUUGCAGAAUUCAGUGAAUCAUCGAAUCUUUGAACGCACAUUGCGCCCUUUGGUAUUCCGAAGGGCAUGCCUGUUCGAGCGUCAUU